GGAGCUGUGGCUGAGUGGCUGAAAGCACUGGUUUGCUAAACCGGCGUACGGAAAUUAAUCUGUACCGAGGGUUCGAAUCCCUCCGGCUCCG
rnacentral:tRNA from 1 species